GGAUGCGAUCAUAAGCACUAAUGCACCGGAUCCCAUCAGAACUCCGCAGUAAGCGUUGCGAGAGUAGUACUAGGAUGGGUGACCUCCCGGGAAGUCCUCGUGUUGAUCCC
rnacentral:rRNA from 1 species